GUCUGUGAUCUAGCCUUAAACUCUUCCGCCUCUUCGUGACCCUGGAUGUUGGUCAACGCUGGGGCUGCUGACUCCACCCUCCCCAAAGGGCUGGGAAGCCUGGGUCUGAAAGGGGAAGUCCAGAUGUAGGUGCCUGGCUUUGCAUUGCCCGGGCAAGUCGUGCACCCCUGGGUGGCUCCACCUCUGCCCGCUCCCCAGGGAGAACCUACCCACAGGGAUCUGAGGCGUUGAGAGGUGCCUGGAAGGUUGGAGGAACCGAGGGGGCGCCGCGAGGAAAAAUGUUUCCGCCCACCCCGAGCCUCUCCUCCGACCGGGUACAGGAUUUGGGGGGUCUAUUGUUCCGGUCCUACAGCGCUGAGCCGGGGCUUUCCCACGAAGUGCUGCUACCACCUGCUGGUUCUUUCAAGGAACACAGGCGACUGGUGGAAGUCCCUCUGGCCUUUCCCCCCUCCUCCCCGUAUCACCGGGUGGCAUCUCAGUUCUCCCACUUACUUACUUCGUUUAUCCAAGACGAGGGAAAGCGCUAGCUAGCUGCAAACGGGCUGAUCACAAAAGUGGUACUUAAGGAGCAUUCAGAAACCGAGGAAAAUUGUGAAAGAGAUCUGUGAGCCAACAAGCACAAUAAAGGAAACAAUGCAACUCAUUAGAAGGCACCUGGGAGAAACAAACCGGCUUUAAUGAAUUGGGUGAAUGAGUGAUGGAAACUGAAAGGCGACUGAACUAGUCCCCACUUGGCAAGGGGGUUGUUCCCUCUCGAUAUCUGCAGUCAAUUAAUAAGCCUAAUGAUGUUGAAUGAUUCUGCAUUUGGGCAGCUUCGAUAAGUCCGCUUGCACCGGGGUCCAAUCUUCAGAGAAAGCACCCUUGUACUCUGCAAGCAAAGAGGUGAUUCCGAUUGGCCCUGUAUCAUCAUCUCCUGUGUGUUAAACCACGUUGUAAAGGGGUGGAUGCCAGGCCUGACUCUGGUUCUCGAGAAGAAGACAGACUUCUGCUGGAAGCACUUGUGAGAACGCUUUUGGCUUUCUAUGAAGAGACACAGAUUUGGCUGAUGUGGCUUUCUCCUUUGUCGCAUCUUGAAAUCUUCUGUUGGACGUUGUAUUGGUCUCCUAUCAAUGCCAUAAAAAAAAAAAACUUAGUGGCUGAAAACCACACAAAUGUAUUAUCUUACAGUUCUAAAUUUGGGUCAGAAGUCCAAAAUGGGUCUGAACUGGGUUAAGGAAAACAAACAAACAAAACAAAACAAACCCUCAAAGUAUAGGAGGGCUGUGUUCCUUGUCUAGGCUCUAGGGAGAAUCUUUCCUUGCCUUUUGUAGAGCAACUUCUGGGGCCACUGCAUUCCUUAACUCAUGGUCUUUAUCCUCAAAGCCAGUAAUAUCGGCUGAAUUCUUUUGCUGACUCUCUUCCGUCUCCCUCUUCCACUUAUGAUUAUAGUGGGUCCACCCAGAUAAUCCAGGAUCAUCUCUGUAUCUCAAAGUCAGGCGAUUAGCAACCUUAAUUCUAUCUGCAAACCUAAUUCCCCUUUGCUUUGUAAA